CCAUUCACCUCUCCCCGAGGGCUGACGGCUACUUGCAGGGAAUGUUGGGAAAAAUUCAAGUGACAGGUUAUGCAAGGGCUGGUGACUACCUGAUGGACGAAAGACUCUGUGUGUGUGUGUGUGUGUGUGUGUGUGUGUGUGUGUGUGUGUGUGUGUGUGUGUGUGAGGGGGGUGUUUGAACAGUCCAGGAGAGGGUACUUUGCAGGCAAGGUGCAAGUGCUGUGAGUUACAACAUAAAGGGGCCUUGUUACACCAUGGUGGUGGAGGCAGAAAUCAGUGUAAGCUACUUGUCCCUGGAGUUCUGCCAAAAGGCUUCAUUUCCUGACCUCUAAACCCUUUGAAGUCCGAAUGCCCCGCCCCCCAUCACAGUUAUAAACAGCGAGGCUCCAGGGCCAGGGCCUUCCCAGCCACACCUGCUAGUAUACAGAUCUGUGUCCCCAGGAGGCAGCUUCCUGUACCCUGUACUGCCCAGCAGCUGCUUUGGGUGGGUCUAGCGUCAGGAGUGGUUAGCACAUGUGUGUUACAGGAGUCCACAGUUAUCCAGGGUGGAAGCUAAAAUCUGGGGGGACAUGGGGAAGAUAGGAUGCUCCAAAGUUGCAUCCUGUUGCUAUCUUUCUCUCCGUCUCUGGAACACUUACUGAAGGUUGGAUUCAUUGGCUUUCUCAAUGCACACCUGCCUCGGUGAUCUGAGUUAUUCUGGGAUAUGGAGUAACUGCAGGGGCCCUCUGCUUUGUCUCAACAGUUAACAGAUCCCAGCUCUUCUUCAGCGUCAACAAGGUUUCCCAUGUGCGCCAAGGGUAGCAAUGUCCCUGCCUUAUCAGCCUAGCAACGAGAAGGCCAGUUUCCAGGAAAGCGGCCACCUGAUCCAGCCUGGUGAAACCCAUUCGCAGCCCAGCCACUGCUCUGGCCUUCACAUCCCAGCACUCAACAGCAGGGCCACAUGACAGCGUUUUCAGUUGGCUAGCCCUCCUUCUCCCCGGCAGCCGGGCUGUGGUUUGUGAAUGACGAGGAACCUAAAGCCAGAGGAGAAGCAGAAGUGGAGCUUGAGACUGUCUUCUUCCAUAUUCUCAGGGAGUGCAGCUUCACACCCCUGCAGCUCCACACUGUCCCUGGAGUGGGGGAUGGGCAGGGCGAGCAUGUGCUGGGACAGGGCAUGAGGGUGAUGAGGAGCCUUAAAGUCCAGGAACUUUGCCUCUCCAGCUCAGUCUUGGUUCCCCCCACCCUCUUGCCCUAUCUACCAUGCACUCAUACAACAUCUCCCUGGUCCCUUCCAACACUAUUGGCUUUUCCUUCGGGGCCAGUGUAAAACCUUCACUGACUUUUACCAGGGCAGGAGAGGGG
rnacentral:lncRNA from 1 species